CCUACGGGAGGCUGCAGUGGGGAAUAUUGGACAAUGGGGGGAACCCUGAUCCAGCGACGCCGCGUGAGUGAAGAAGUAUUUCGGUAUGUAAAGCUCUAUCAGCAGGGAAGAAAGAAAUGACGGUACCUGACUAAGAAGCCCCGGCUAACUACGUGCCAGCAGCCGCGGUAAUACGUAGGGUGCAAGCGUUAUCCGGAUUUACUGGGUGUAAAGGGAGCGUAGACGGCGAUGCAAGUCUGAAGUGAAAGGCGGGGGCGCAACCCCUGGACUGCUUUGGAAACUGUAUGGCUGGAGUGCAGGAGAGGUAAGUGGAAUUCCUAGUGUAGCGGUGAAAUGCGUAGAUAUUAGGAGGAACACCAGUGGCGAAGGCGGCUUACUGGACUGUAACUGACGUUGAGGCUCGAAAGCGUGGGGAGCAAACAGGAUUAGAUACCCUAGUAGUC
rnacentral:rRNA from 1 species